GAUGAACGCUAGCUACAGGCUUAACACAUGCAAGUCGAGGGGAAACGCUGAGAGAGCUUGCUCUCUUAGGCGUCGACCGGCGCACGGGUGAGUAACGCGUAUCCAACCUACCCAUUACAGGGGGAUAACCUUGCGAAAGUAAGACUAAUACCCCAUGGCAUUUUAUGGUGGCAUCAUUAUAGGAUUAAAGAUUUAUUGGUAAUGGAUGGGGAUGCGUCUGAUUAGCUUGUUGGCGGGGUAACGGCCCACCAAGGCAACGAUCAGUAGGGGUUCUGAGAGGAAGGUCCCCCACAUUGGAACUGAGACACGGUCCAAACUCCUACGGGAGGCAGCAGUGAGGAAUAUUGGGCAAUGGGCGAGAGCUUGAACCAGCCAAGUAGCGUGCAGGAUGACGGCCCUAUGGGUUGUAAACUGCUUUUAUAGGGGAAUAAAGUGAGCUACGUGUAGUUUAUUGCAUGUACCCUAUGAAUAAGGACCGGCUAAUUCCGUG
rnacentral:rRNA from 1 species